GACCAGGGACAGUUGGAACACGGGUUGGUUGUAACACCUUCAAUAUCUCCAAUCACAAACAAGCUAGAGUGAUGACACUCACUCUGCACAUGCGCAGUUAGAUGGUGAGAUCGAUGAGAAAAAACGGAGCCACGUUUGAAUUUCUCGCGUAAGAUAUCGGCAAAAGUGUGUUUCUGAGUAUGUCAAAUGUCAGAAAGAGGAAGACAGACAGGGGAGUGCCACUUGCUCUGCUGCAGAUGGGCUCAAAUUAAGUUCAGGAGGGCAAAUCAUUCAGGGAAGUGGCAAAGUCCCUGGAUAUAUGCCAUGUCACCCUGUACCGGUUCCAUAAGAAGAGGCUGAGGUUGGAGAGUCAGACAAACCCAACAAGAAGCAGAAGAUACAGGACUCAUCUGAUGAAGAUGAGGCCCAAUACUGCAUUGUGUGCCUGGAGAGCUACUCCAGGUCCAAGGAGAUCUGGCUGCAGUGUUGCUCCUGUAAAGCCUGGGCACACAAGGACUGCACAGAUGGAAGUGCCUUUUACACCUGCCACAACUGUGAAUCUGAUUAAUUCUGGUGUUCUGUUUUAAGUUCUGUUCAAGUUCUGUUAAUUGUUCAUUGUUUGUUGGAGGAUGUGUGAAACCCCAUUUAAAAUCUUGUUGCCUUAGAAUUUGACUGCUUUCCCUAUUUUUUGUCAUGUAGUGUGAAAAAAGGUAACCGUUAUUAACAUGUUACAACCGUGCCUGGCAUGUGCUACAACUGUCCCUGUACACAAGGACAGUUGUAACAGUUGAGUUUUU